rnacentral:misc_RNA from 1 species
GAAAUGUGAUAAGUAAUGUGAAUUGCAGAAUUCAGUGAAUCAUCGAAUCUUUGAACGCACCUUGCGCUCCUUGGUAUUCCUUGGAGCAUGCCUGUUUGAGUAUCAUGAAAUCUUCAAAGUAAAUCUUUUGUUAACUCAAUUGGUUUCUACUUUGGUAUUGGAGGUCUUUGCAGCUUCACACCUGCUCCUCUUUGUUCAUUAGCUGGAUCUCAGUGUUAUGCUUGGUUCCACUCGGCGUGAUAAGUUAUCUAUCGCUGAGGACACUGUAAAAGGUGGCCAAGGUAAAUGCAGAUGAACCGCUUCUAAUAGUCCAUUGACUUGGACAAUACUUUUAUGAUCUGAUCUCAAAUCAGGUAGGACUACCCGCUGAACUUAAGC